UACAGAGGUCUCAAGCGUUGUUCGGAUUCAUUGGGCGUAAAGGGUGCGUAGGCGGCGCGGUAAGUCGGGUGUGAAAUCUCGGAGCUUAACUCCGAAACUGCAUUCGAUACUGCCGUGCUUGAGGACUGGAGAGGAGACUGGAAUUUACGGUGUAGCGGUGAAAUGCGUAGAUAUCGUAAGGAAGACCAGUGGCGAAGGCGGGUCUCUGGACAGUUUCUGACGCUGAGGCACGAAGGUCAGGGGAGCGAAACGGG
rnacentral:rRNA from 1 species